AGAUAGGAUGAUAUUGAGAAGAUAAUGGAGAAGAGAUGAUAGAAUGAAAUUGAGAAAUUAAUGGAGAAGAGAUGUGAAUCAUGGAUCAUGGAAUGGACGGGAAAUACUUGAUUUUGGAUCAAGUAUUCGCGUUGCAAUGGUGUGAGUUUUAUUUGGAAAACAACUUGACGUUGGAUCAAGUAUCUUUUAUUUCUUUUGAAAUGCUUUAUUUAUCGUUUUGGUUUUAUCUUUUA
rnacentral:lncRNA from 1 species